UUUACAUAAACAUAUUUGCAUGUUUUAAGCAUUGGCAGGCCAAAUCAAGAACUGCAGUUUCAGGAUCUCGGUAUGUGGAAAUAUUUUUUUAAAAUUUACUUAUUCAAGGGACUAGAGCACUAGCCCAAUCUACUUGUCUAUAAUGAUAAUGUACUUGUCAUCACACAAAAUAAUUUUGGCUCAAGGUACCUGUGACGGAACGCUGGCACUCCGACU